GCUGCCAUGGUGGAACAGGUAGACACAACAGACUUAAAAUCUGUCGGGGCAACCCGUGCCGGUUCGAUUCCGGCUGGCAGCACCA
rnacentral:tRNA from 1 species